UGCCGUGUAGCUCAGCGGUAGAGCAGCGUCUUGAUAAGGCGAGGGCCGCUGGUUCGAAUCCAGCCCCGGCAACCA
rnacentral:tRNA from 1 species